GAUGAACGCUAGCGGCAGGCCUAAUACAUGCAAGUCGAACGGUGUCUUCGGACAUAGUGGCGUACGGGUGCGUAACACGUAUGCAACCUACCUUACAUUGGGGGAUAGCCUUUCGAAAGGGAGAUUAAUACCGCAUAAGACAGUAACUAGGCAUCUAGUAGCUGUUAAAGAUUUAUCGAUGUAAGCUGGGCAUGCGUCCAAUUAGCUAGUUGGUGAGGUAACGGCUCACCAAGGCAAUGAUUGGUAGGGGAACUGAGAGGUCAAUCCCCCACACUGGCACUGAGACACGGCCCAGACUCCUACGGGAGGCAGCAGUAGGGAAUAUUGGGCAAUGGACGCAAGUCUGACCCAGCCAUGCCGCGUGCAGGAUGAAGGCGUUAUGCGUUGUAAACUGCUUUUAUACAGGAAGAAACGACUCUUGCGAGAGGCAUUGACGGUACUGUAUGAAUAAGCACCGGCUAACUCCGUG
rnacentral:rRNA from 1 species